rnacentral:tRNA from 1 species
CGCCGGGUAGAGCAGUGGCAGCUCGCGGGGCUCAUAAUCCCGAGGUCGGGGGUUCGAAUCCCCCCCCGGCAACCA